rnacentral:tRNA from 1 species
ACAGUGGUGGUCCAGUGGUAGGAUUCUCGUCUCCCAUGCGGGAGACCCAGGUUUGAUUCCUGACCAAUGCA